rnacentral:rRNA from 1 species
CAGUAGCCACGGUAACACGUAGGGUGCGAGCGUUAAUCGGAAUUACUGGGCGUAAAGCGUGCGCAGGCGGUUGUGUAAGACAGGUGUGAAAUCCCCGGGCUUAACCUGGGAACUGCGCUUGUGACUGCACAGCUAGAGUAUGGCAGAGGGGGGUGGAAUUCCACGUGUAGCAGUGAAAUGCGUAGAGAUGUGGAGGAACACCGAUGGCGAAGGCAGCCCCCUGGGCCAAUACUGACGCUCAUGCACGAAAGCGUGGGGAGCAAACAGGAUUAGAUACCCCUGUAGUCCCUGUCUCUUAUAC